AGCGAACGCUGGCGGCAGGCUUAACACAUGCAAGUCGAACGCCCCGCAAGGGGAGUGGCAGACGGGUGAGUAACACGUGGGAACGUACCCUUUGGUUCGGAAUAACUUGGGGGAACUCAAGCUAAUACCGGAUAAGCCCUUAUGGGGAAAGGUUUACUGCCGAAGGAUCGGCCCGCGUCUGAUUAGCUAGUUGGUGAGGUAAUGGCUCACCAAGGCGACGAUCAGUAGCUGGUCUGGGAGGAUGAUCAGCCACACUGGGACUGAGACACGGCCCAGACUCCUACGGGAGGCAGCAGUGGGGAAUAUUGGACAAUGGGGGCAACCCUGAUCCAGCCAUGCCGCGUGAGUGAUGAAGGCCUUAGGGUUGUAAAGCUCUUUUACCCGGGACGAUAAUGACUGUACCGGGAGAAUAAGCCCCGGCUAACUUCGUGCCAGCCGCCGCGGUAA
rnacentral:rRNA from 1 species